rnacentral:rRNA from 1 species
AUUGAACGCUGGCGGCAGGCUUAACACAUGCAAGUCGAACGAUUGGCGGACGGGUGAGUAAUGUCUGGGAAACCGCCCGAUGGAGGGGGAUCACUACUGGAAACGGUAGCCAAUACCGCAUACCAUUCGAUGAGCCCAGAUGGGAUUAGCUUGUUGGUUGGGUACCGGCUCACAAAGGCGACGAUCCCUAGCUGGUCUGAGAGGAUGACCAGCCACACUGGAACGGAAACACGGUCCAGACGACUACGGGAGGCAGCAGUGGGGAAAGUUGCACAAUGGGCGCAAGCCUGAUGCAGCCAUGCCGCGUGUAUGAAGAAGGCAUUCGGGUUGUAGAGUACUUUCAGCGGGGAGGCGUUACCCGCAGAAGAAGCACCGGCUAACUCCGUGCCAGCAGCCGCGGUAAUUC